rfam:Podospora anserina genomic DNA, chromosome 7.
GGGAGGGUGGCCGAGCGGUCUAAGGCGCUACGUUAAGGUGAAUACCUUGAUCCAAAUUCCCUUCAGAAUUCCGUAGUCUCGAAAGGGGCGCGAGUUCGAAUCUCGCCCCUCUCA